GAUGAACGCUGGCGGCGUGCUUAACACAUGCAAGUCGAACGAAGCACUUUAUUUGAUUUCCUUCGGGACUGAUUAUUUUGUGACUGAGUGGCGGACGGGUGAGUAACGCGUGGGUAACCUGCCUUGUACAGGGGGAUAACAGUUGGAAACGGCUGCUAAUACCGCAUAAGCGCACGGCAUCGCAUGCUGCAGUGUGAAAAACUCCGGUGGUAUAAGAUGGACCCGCGUUGGAUUAGCUAGUUGGUGAGGUAACGGCCCACCAAGGCGAGGAUCCAUACCCGACAGGGGAGCGUGACCGGCCACAUUGGGGCUGAGGCACGGCCCAAACUCCUACGGGAGGCAGCAGUGGGGAAUAUUGCACAAUGGGCGAAAGCCUGAUGCAGCGACGCCGCGUGAGCGAAGAAGUAUGUCGGUAUGUAAAGCUCUAUCAGCAGGGAAGAGAAUGACGGUACCUGACUAAGAAGCACCGGCUAAAUACGUG
rnacentral:rRNA from 1 species